rnacentral:rRNA from 1 species
UACAGAGGUGGCAAGCGUUGUUCGGAAUUACUGGGCGUAAAGGGCGCGUAGGCGGCCUUCUAAGUCAGACGUGAAAUCCCCCGGCUUAACCUGGGAACUGCGUCUGAUACUGGGAGGCUUGAGUAUGGGAGAGGGAUGUAGAAUUCCAGGUGUAGCGGUGAAAUGCGUAGAUAUCUGGAGGAACACCGGUGGCGAAGGCGGCGUCCUGGACCAACACUGACACUGAAAAGCGAAAGCCAGGGGAGCAAACGGG